rnacentral:rRNA from 1 species
GAUGAACGCUGGCGGCGUGCUUAACACAUGCAAGUCGAACGAUAAGUGAAGACGGAAACCUUCGGGCGGAAGGCUUUAUUUCGAGUGGCGGACGGGUGAGUAACGCGUGGGUAACCUGCCUCAUACAGGGGGAUAACAGUUGGAAACGACUGUUAAUACCGCAUAAGACCACAGCACCGCAUGGUGCGGGGGUAAAAACUCCGGUGGUAUGAGAUGGACCCGCGUUCGAUUAGCCAGUUGGCGGGGUAACGGCCCACCAAAGCGACGAUCGAUAGCCGAUCUGAGAGGAUGACCGGCAACAUUGGGACUGAGACACGGACCAAACUCCUACGGGAGGCAGAAGUGGGGAAUAUUGCACAAUGGGGGAAACCCUGAUGCAGCGACGCCGCGUGAGUGAAGAAGUAUUUCGGUAUGUAAAGCUCUAUCAGAAGGGAAGAAAAUGACGGUACCUGAGUAAGAAGCCCCGGCUAACUACGUG